rnacentral:lncRNA from 1 species
AUCAUGACUGUGUCACCAAAUGACACCCUAUAUAUCCCCAUAUAUUGCACUACUUUUGACAAAAGCCUAGUAGUGAACCAUGAAUAGGGUGCCAUUUGGGACACAGCUGAUAAUGUCAGUGACAGAGCUGCUGAUCGGUUUCAGAGGAGGAGAGGAGGCGUGGUUGCUGUGCCUGUAUCUGUGAUGUGUCUGGAAGAAAAGCUCCAUGUGAACCAUUGCCUGUUGCAGAAGAGGUCAUCUGUAGCGAGCAAGGAGAGUCUCGCCUGCUGCUGUUGAUUCUGGGGGACCUACGGGCGGUUGAGCGGACAUUAGCGUUGUUCGCCAGUGGCAGGAGGGAGGGGAAACCUGGCUAUUGGACCAGAGUGGCACGGCGCCUCAACGCCGCCUUCUUCACCGUCUACCUCAUCUCUGUCAUGCUCUUCAUUAGCCUUAUGUGUAAGGAGUGGUUAAAUUAGACCUAGAAUUAAAUUACCAAUUGCAUAUCCAAAUCUAGACAUCAGAGCAUGCCUGUAUACUUUGUUUACCUCCCAUUUUCUCACGUGCAGUGCCACUGUCGAUGGGUGUAUUGAAAGCCAUGUGCAUUUUUUUAGCUCAUGUGCAUAAAAUAUACAUUUUUUUUAUAUUUAACAUAUUCGAACACUAUGGAGAGUACUUAUGUUAUCCAACUGUGUGCUUUUCAUUUCAUAUAUCAUGUUAAAUUAAAUUUAAUAAUUUUAUUGUAGACUACGCUUUACACCAAAUAAAAAAAGAACUGAAAGACCUUCCAGUGUGUGAAUGUGUGCAGUGAGAUGGAGAAAGGGAGAGAGCCUUGCCAGUUGCUUCUCCAAGCUGUAGGUGGCAAUAUGCUCUAAAAUGUAGCAUCACUGUCCCAACACCACUUGGACAGCUCGAGUUCAAUCAAUGACGUGGAUUUUCUUUGUAACCACUGCAGCCUCACUACCGCCACACAAAUUAGAGAUUUUUGCCAACUCUUUAAAGUAGAUAAUAUUGCAGUAUUUAUUCGUAGGAAAAAAGGGUUGGAGACGCCUGCGAUUUCUCAGUCAAACCGGUGAGUAGUUUGGUGCCCGUGGAAGCAUUACAUUAGAAGAAAAGUAACUUUUUAGCCCGGUUAGAUAUAGCUACAUAGUGGUGUCACAAUCAUUGACAGUAAUAGAAUAAUACCCUGACUACACUGGCCACGUUGCAUGUGUCAAAGAGCGUCUGCGUUGCCAAAUGCAAAAAAAAUAACAUAUUUGAGAUGCACGACAGGCUGCAAGUUCUGUGGAUCUUGAGUCUAGUGGCGGUGGAAGCCGUAUCGAAGUUGUUGUAGGAGCCAUUUUGGCCUGUUUAUGAGUUGCGUAUAUGUGACC